GACGAACGCUGGCGGCGUGCUUAACACAUGCAAGUCGAACGGAAAGGCCCUGCUUUUGUGGGGUGCUCGAGUGGCGAACGGGUGAGUAACACGUGAGUAACCUGCCCUUCACUUUGGGAUAACUUCAGGAAACUGGGGCUAAUACCGGAUAGGAGCUCCUGCUGCAUGGUGGGGGUUGGAAAGUUUCGGCGGUUGGGGAUGGACUCGCGGCUUAUCAGCUUGUUGGUGGGGUAGUGGCUUACCAAGGCUUUGACGGGUAGCCGGCCUGAGAGGGUGACCGGCCACAUUGGGACUGAGAUACGGACCAGACUCCUACGGGAGGCAGCAGGGGGGAAUAUUGCACAAUGGGCGGAAGCCUGAUGCAGCAACGCCGCGUGCGGGAUGACGGCCUUCGGGUUGUAAACCGCUUUCGCCUGUGACGAAGCGUGAGUGACGGUAAUGGGUAAAGAAGCACCGGCUAACUACGUG
rnacentral:rRNA from 1 species